rnacentral:rRNA from 1 species
AGAGUUUGAUCAUGGCUCAGAUUGAACGCUGGCGGCAGGCCUAACACAUGCAAGUCGAACGGUAACAGGAAUCAGCUUGCUGAUUCGCUGACGAGUGGCGGACGGGUGAGUAAUGUCUGGGAAACUGCCUGAUGGAGGGGGAUAACUACUGGAAACGGUAGCUAAUACCGCAUAACGUCGCAAGACCAAAGAGGGGGACCUUCGGGCCUCUUGCCAUCGGAUGUGCCCAGAUGGGAUUAGCUAGUAGGUGGGGUAACGGCUCACCUAGGCGACGAUCCCUAGCUGGUCUGAGAGGAUGACCAGCCACACUGGAACUGAGACACGGUCCAGACUCCUACGGGAGGCAGCAGUGGGGAAUAUUGCACAAUGGGCGCAAGCCUGAUGCAGCCAUGCCGCGUGUAUGAAGAAGGCCUUCGGGUUGUAAAGUACUUUCAGCGGGGAGGAAGGGAGUAAAGUUAAUACCUUUGCUCAUUGACAUUACCCGCGGGAGAAGCACCGGCUAACUCCGUGCCAGAGCCGCGGUAAUACGGAGGGUGCAAGCGUUAAUCGGGAAUUACUGGGGCGUAAAGCGCACGCAGGCGGUUUGUUAAGUCAGAUGUGAAAUCCCCGGGCUCAACCUGGGAACUGCAUCUGAUACUGGCAAGCUUGAGUCUCGUAGAGGGGGGGUAGAAUUCCAGGGUAGCGGAGAAAUGCGUAGAGAUCUGGAGGAAUACCGGUGGCGAAGGCGGCUCCCUGGACGAAAACUGACG